rnacentral:rRNA from 1 species
UCGAACGGCAGCACGGAGCUUGCUCUGGUGGCGAGUGGCGAACGGGUGAGUAAUAUAUCGGAACGUACCCUAGAGUGGGGGAUAACGUAGCGAAAGUUACGCUAAUACCGCAUACGAUCUAAGGAUGAAAGUGGGGGAUCGCAAGACCUCAUGCUCGUGGAGCGGCCGAUAUCUGAUUAGCUAGUUGGUAGGGUAAAAGCCUACCAAGGCAUCGAUCAGUAGCUGGUCUGAGAGGACGACCAGCCACACUGGAACUGAGACACGGUCCAGACUCCUACGGGAGGCAGCAGUGGGGAAUUUUGGACAAUGGGCGAAAGCCUGAUCCAGCAAUGCCGCGUGAGUGAAGAAGGCCUUCGGGUUGUAAAGCUCUUUUGUCAGGGAAGAAACGGUGAAGGCUAAUAUCCUUUGCUAAUGACGGUACCUGAAGAAUAAGCACCGGCUAACUACGUGCCAGCAGCCGCGGUAAU